AGCAGCCGCGGUAAUUCCAGCUCCAAUAGCGUAUAUUAAAGUUGUUGCAGUUAAAAAGCUCGUAGUUGAAUUUCGGGAUUUAUCCGUUGGUCGGGCUUUUGGUCUGUACUGGCGUGAUGGAUUCCUACCUUCUGAAUAACCGGCAUGCCAUUAAUUUGGUGCGCCGGGGAAGCAGGACUGUUACCUUGAAAAAAUUAGAGUGCUUAAAGCAGGCUUAUGCCUGAAUACAUUAGCAUGGAAUAAUGAAAUAGGACGCAUGGUUCUAUUUUGUUGGUUUCUAGGAUCACCGUAAUGAUUAAUAGGGAUAGUUGGGGGCAUUAGUAUUCAAUUGUCAGAGGUGAAAUUCUUGGAUUUAUUGAAGACUAACUUCUGCGAAAGCAUUUGCCAAGGAUGUUUUCAUUAAUCAAGAACGAAAGUUAGGGGAUCGAAGACGAUCAGAUACCGUCGUAGUCUUAACCAUAAACUAUGCCGACUAGGGAUCGGACGAUGUUAAUUUUUUAAUGACUCGUUCGGCGCCUUA
rnacentral:rRNA from 2 species